rnacentral:rRNA from 1 species
AUUGAACGCUGGCGGCAUGCCUUACACAUGCAAGACGAACGGUAACAGGUUAAGCUGACGAGUGGCGAACGGGUGAGUAAUGUAUCGGAACGUGCCCAGUCGUGGGGGAUAACUGCUCGAAAGAGCAGCUAAUACCGCAUACGACCUGAGGGUGAAAGCGGGGGAUCGCAAGACCUCGCGCGAUUGGAGCGGCCGAUAUCAGAUUAGGUAGUUGGUGAGGUAAAGGCUCACCAAGCCGACGAUCUGUAGCUGGUCUGAGAGGACGACCAGCCACACUGGGACUGAGACACGGCCCAGACUCCUACGGGAGGCAGCAGUGGGGAAUUUUGGACAAUGGGCGCAAGCCUGAUCCAGCCAUGCCGCGUGCGGGAAGAAGGCCUUCGGGUUGUAAACCGCUUUUGUCAGGGAAGAAAAGGUUCUGGCUAAUACCUGGGACUCAUGACGGUACCUGAAGAAUAAGCACCGGCUAACUACGUG